rnacentral:rRNA from 1 species
GCCUCUAGCGAGCUGGUACAUGGCCCGUACCCCAAACCGACACAGGUGGUCAGGUAGAGAAUACUAAGGCGAUCGAGAGAACUGUGGUUAAGGAACUCGGCAAAAUGCCCCCGUAACUUCGGGAGAAGGGGGACCAGUCCUGGUGACGACAUUUACUGUCUGAGCUGGGGUUGGUCGCAGAGACCAGAGAGAAGCGACUGUUUACUAAAAGCACAGGUCCGUGCGAAGUCGUAAGACGAUGUAUACGGACUGACGCCUCCCCGGUGCUGGAAGGUUAAGAGGACCGGUCAGCCACUUCGGUGGCGAAGCUGAGAAUUUAAGCCCCAGUAAACGGCGGUGGUAACUAUAACCAUCCUAAGGUAGCGAAAUUCCUUGUCGGGUAAGUUCCGACCUGCACGAAUGGCGUAACGACUUCUCUGCUGUCUCAACCACAGACUCGGCGAAAUUGCAGUACGAGUAAAGAUGCUCGUUACGCGCGGCAGGACGAAAAGACCCCGGGACCUUCACUAUAGCUUGGUAUUGGUGUUCGGUUCGGUUUGUGUAGGAUAGGUGGGAGACUGUGAAACUCGCACGCCAGUGUGGGUGGAGUCAUUGUUGAAAUACCACUCUGACCGUAUUGGACAUCUAACCUCGGACCAUGAUCUGGUUCAGGGACAGUGCCUGGUGGGUAGUUUAACUGGGCCGGUUGCCUCCUAAAAAGUAACGGAGGCGCCCAAAGGUUCCCUCAGCCUGGUUGGCAAUCAGGUGUUGAGUGUAAGUGCACAAGGGAGCUUGACUGUGAGACGUACAUGUCGAGCAGGGACGAAAGUCGGGACUAGUGAUCCGGCACCGGCAAGUGGAAGCGGUGUCGCUCAACGGAUAAAAGGUACCCCGGGGAUAACAGGCUGAUCUUCCCCAAGAGUCCAUAUCGACGGGAUGGUUUGGCACCUCGAUGUCGGCUCGUCGCAUCCUGGGGCUGGAGUAGGUCCCAAGGGUUGGGCUGUUCGCCCAUUAAAGCGGCACGCGAGCUGGGUUUAGAACGUCGUGAGACAGUUCGGUCUCUAUCCGCCGCGCGCGUAAGAAACUUGAGGAAACCUGUCCCUAGUACGAGAGGACCGGGACGGACGAACCUCUGGUGUGCCAGUUGUUCCACCAGGAGCACCGCUGGUUAGCUACGUUCGGAAGGGAUAACCGCUGAAAGCAUCUAAGCGGGAAGCCUGUUCCAAGAUGAGGUUUCUCACCACCUAGCGUGGUUAAGGCCCCCCACAGACCAUGGGGUUG